rnacentral:rRNA from 1 species
GAUGAACGCUAGCGGCAGGCUUAACACAUGCAAGUCGAGGGGUAGAGGUUGCUUGCAACCUUGAGACCGGCGCACGGGUGCGUAACGCGUAUGCAACCUACCUUUUACAGAGGGAUAGCCCAGAGAAAUUUGGAUUAAUACCUCAUAGUAUAUAACCUUCGCAUGUUGGUUAUAUUAAAGUUCCAACGGUAAAAGAUGGGCAUGCGUCCUAUUAGCUAGAUGGUAAGGUAACGGCUUACCAUGGCUACGAUAGGUAGGGGUCCUGAGAGGGAGAUCCCCCACACUGGUACUGAGACACGGACCAGACUCCUACGGGAGGCAGCAGUGAGGAAUAUUGGACAAUGGGCGCAAGCCUGAUCCAGCCAUGCCGCGUGCAGGAAGACGGUCCUAUGGAUUGUAAACUGCUUUUGUACGGGAAGAAACACUCCUACGUGUAGGAGCUUGACGGUACCGUAAGAAUAAGGAUCGGCUAACUCCGUGCCAGCAGCCGCCGUAACAC